AACCUUAUGGACCUGCGGGCGUAUACCUGCGGAAGGAUCAUUAAAAAGAAUUUGAUUAUCCCAUUAAAAUAUAUGGAUUAAUAAUUCAUAUUCACUCUUGUGUGCAUCUAUUGAUUAGUAUACUUUGACAGAUUCUCUCUUGUCUUUUUUUUCUCUUUUUUCUUUCUUUAUUAAAGAAAGCGAACAAAGAAAGAGAGAGAGAUUAAAAUUUUGAAUUCUAAUCUCGGGUCUGUCAGAGUU
rnacentral:misc_RNA from 1 species